rnacentral:rRNA from 1 species
GACGGAGGAUGCAAGCGUUAUCCGGAAUGAUUGGGCGUAAAGCGUCCGCAGGUGGCUGUUCAAGUCUGCUGUCAAAGACCGGGGCUUAACUUCGGAAAGGCAGUGGAAACUGAACAGCUAGAGUAUGGUAGGGGCAGAGGGAAUUCCUGGUGUAGCGGUGAAAUGCGUAGAGAUCAGGAAGAACAUCGGUGGCGAAGGCGCUCUGCUGGACCAUAACUGACACUCAGGGACGAAAGCGUGGGGAGCAAACAGG